CUACAGGGUGCGGUCCUGGCUCUUGUGUAAGAAUUCUGACUGCACUAACUAUGCCUAGGAAGGAAAGGAGUUGUUGUUUUGUAAGAGAUUGAGGUUUGGGAGAUUAAUAGGACACGAUCAGCAGGGAAAGCACGUAUGUUUUUAUGAGAAUUAUGCCGAGAUAGGUAACAGAUGAGGAUGAAAUUUGGGCUUGACUGAAGUAAUGGGGGCUGUCUAUGAAGCCUUGUGGCAGUACAGCCUAGGUAAUUUGCUGAGCCUAAUAGGUGUCAGGGUCAGUCCAAGUGAAAGAAAAGAGAGGCUGGGACGAGGGGUGCAGGGGAAUAGUGAAAAAAGCAUCUUUAAGAUCAAGCACGGAAUAGUGAGUGGUGGAGGAAGGUAUUGAGGAUAGGAGAGUAUAUGGGUUGGGCACCACAGGGGGGAUAGGCAAAACAAUUUGGUUGAUAAGGCACAGAUCCUGAACUAACUUGUAAGGCUUGUCUGGUUUUAGGACAGGUAAAAUGGGGGAAUUGUAAGGAGAGUUUAUAGGCUUUAAAAGGCCAUGCUGUAGCAGGCGAGUGAUAACAGGUUUAAUCUUUUUAAAGCGUGCUGUGGGAUGGGAUAUUGGCAUUGAGUGGGGUAAGGGUGAUUAGGUUUUAAUGAGAUGGUAAGGGGUGCAUGAUUGGUAGCCAAGGAGGGAGUAGAGGUAUCUUAUACUUGUGGGUUAAGGUGGGGGGAUACAAGAGGAGGACGCAAAGGAGGCUUUGAAUUGGGAAGAAGGGUGGCAAUGAGAUACAGCUGUAGUCCAGGAAUAGUCAGGGAAGCAGAUAAUUUAGUUAAAGUGUCUCAGCCUAAUAAGGGAACUGGGCAGGUGGGGAUAAUGAAAAAGGAGUGCUUAAAAGAGUAUUGUCUAAGUUGGCACCAGAGUUGGGGAGUUUUAGGAGGUUUAGAAGCCUGGCCGUCAAUACCCACAACAGUUAUGGAGGCAAGGGAAACAGGUCCUUGAAAAGAAGAUAAUGUGGAGUGGGUAGCCUCCGUAUUGAUUAAGAAGGGGACGGGCUUACCUUCCACCGUGAGAGUUACCUGAAGCUCGGCGUCCGUGAUGGUCUAGGGGGCUUCCAAGGUGAUUGGGCAGUGUCAUCUUCAGCCGCUAAGCCGAGAAGAUCUGGGAAGGAGUCAGUCAGCCUUGGGCCAGAGUUCCAGGGGUUCUGGGAGUGGCUGUCAGAAUGCAGUGUACCAAGUGGCCUCCUUCAUUGCCUGCAUUUUGAAUGCAGUCAGGCUGCACAGUGGAAUGGAAAUCCCUGGCCAAGAUAUACCUCUUAAAAGAAAAUAAUCUCUUCCUCUGUGUGUAUGCCUGCGUCUACAUAUGUAUUGUGGGGACCAGAAUAUACCACCCCAAAAUAUAAAUGACUGUUGAACUGAAGGCAAUUAAGAAGAAGUAGGUACAGGAAAGAGCUCUCCUCUCCCUUUAUUUGCCUAAAAGUAGGACACAGGCUUAUAAGGACAAAAGGAAUCCUGCCCUGCCUUCUUCUCCUAUGGGAGAACAAAGGUUAACCACGGAAGACAACCUUGGGCACUGAUGACCCUGGAGAUGAUACCAGAGGCAUCUCCACGAGCAAGCUUCCCUAACUCGCCUUUAUUUACCAUUAUGUGUCUUCCUGCAAGCUGCUGCCCUGGAGAACCCAAGUCCUUUUCUUUGUCUUGUUACUUCCUUAAAAAUGUACUGUUCUUUGUUAAAAAUGCUAUACAAGCCAGAAUUCAAAGCCAUCCCUUUGAGGACUACUCAUUCCCUUGGCGUCUUUCAUGUACCUAUGAAAUAUACACAUUAAUAAACUU
rnacentral:lncRNA from 1 species